CAUGGCGGCGUUCGCAGAUUUGGAUCUAAGAGCGGGCUCAGACCUGAAGGCUCUGCGCGGACUCGUGGAGACCGCUGCUCACCUGGGAUACUCAGUUGUUGCCAUCAAUCACAUUGUUGACUUUAAGGAAAAGAAACGGGAAAUUGAAAAGCCAGUAGCAGUUUCUGAGCUCUUCACAACUUUACCAAUUGUACAGGGAAAAUCAAGACCAAUUAAAAUUUUAACUAGAUUGACAAUUAUAGUUACAGAUCCGUCUCACUGUAAUGUUUUGAGAGCAACUUCUUCAAGGGUCCGGCUGUAUGAUAUUGUUGCAGUGUUUCCAAAGACAGAAAAACUUUUUCAUGUUGCUUGUACACACUUAGAUGUGGAUUUAGUCUGUAUCACCGUAACAGAGAAAUUACCAUUUUACUUCAAAAGACCUCCUAUUAAUGUGGUAAGUGUCGCUCUUUGUCUGCUGAACUUGGAUCUGUAGAAACUUGUCUGCAGUUCAAAAAAGAACAGAAGAAAUCUCUGUUCUUAGGGAACAGAACCCGGGUAAUUGAUUAAUGGAGCAACUUUAGAAAAGAGAAUUUUGUUUUUCUAAACUGACCAAAAGAAGAAGAAAGCAGGCUUCAGAUAGAAAUUAUCUAAGCUGGGAGCGUCAGGGAGGCCCAGGGAAUACAGUGCUUUCUGUGCAAGCAUGAGAUCUUUAGUUCGAAUCUCCAGCACCCACAUUAACACCAGGCAGCAUGGCAACCUGCUUUUACUCUCAGCGUGGGGGAAACAGACGGGAACAAUGUGACUAGCUAGACUGAGUCAGGUGCUCUGGGGUCAAGUGUGAGGCCCUGCCUCAGUAGACAAUGUAAAGAUGUUCCACACACACACACACACACACACACACAGAGAGAGAGAGAGAGAGAGAGAGAGAGAGAGAGAGAGAGAGAGAGAGAGAGAGAGAGGAAAGUAUCUUAGCUGAGGGUGCUGGCACUCCAAGCUACUCCAGAGGCACCUGAGCCAGGAGUUCCAGACCAGCAGCAGCGCACUUAGACCUUGUCCCAAAAAUCAAGAAAGGAGUCGAGUAACUAUUGAGACAUGUUUUGAAAAGCUUAGGAACUAAAAUGUAUAAAAAAUAUUUCUCAAAUCGAUGUUUAAUAAUGAGAGAUACUUAAAACCUCACUAUUGACAUUAGGACAGAAAAGAAAAGGUAAAGACUCUGAGUCCUAGGGACACCAGAAAAUUGA
rnacentral:lncRNA from 1 species